rnacentral:rRNA from 1 species
GUGGGGAAUAUUGCACAAUGGGGGAAACCCUGAUGCAGCGACGCCGCGUGAGUGAAGAAGUAUUUCGGUACGUAAAGCUCUAUCAGCAAGGAAGAAAAUGACGGUACUUGACUAAGAAGCCCCGGCUAACUACGUGCCAGCAGCCGCGGUAAUACGUAGGGGGCAAGCGUUAUCCGGAUUUACUGGGUGUAAAGGGAGCGUAGACGGUAUGGUAAGUCAGAUGUGAAAGCCCGGGGCUCAACCCCGGGACUGCAUUUGAAACUAUCAGACUAGAGUGCAGGAGAGGUAAGUGGAAUUCCUAGUGUAGCGGUGAAAUGCGUAGAUAUUAGGAGGAACACCAGUGGCGAAGGCGGCUUACUGGACUGUAACUGACGUUGAGGCUCGAAAGCGUGGGGAGCAAACAGGAUUAGAUACCCUGGUAGUCC